CGGCCGCGGUAUUUUGACCGUGCAAAGGUAGCGCAAUCACUUGUCUUUUAAAUAGAGACCUGUAUGAAUGGCUAAACGAGGGCUUAACUGUCUCCCCCUUCAAGUCAGUGAAAUUGAUCUACCCGUGCAGAAGCGGGUAUAACCAUACAAGACGAGAAGACCCUUUGGAGCUUAAGGUACAAAAUUCAACCACGUUAAGCAACUUAAUAAAAAGCAAAAACUUAGCGGAAAAUGAAAUUUUACCUUCGGUUGGGGCGACCGCGGAGGAAAAACAAGCCUCCGAGUGGAGUGGGCCAAACCCCUAAAACCAAGAGAAACAUCUCUAAGCCACAGAACAUCUGACCAAAAAUGAUCCGGCCAAUAAGACCGAUCAACGAACCAAGUUACCCUAGGGAUAACAGCGCAAUCCCCUCCCAGAGUCCAUAUCGACGAGGGGGUUUACGACCUCGAUGUUGGAUCAGGACAUCCUAAUGGUGCAGCCGCUAUUAAGGGUU
rnacentral:rRNA from 1 species